UUAAUUCAAGUGCUAGAAAUGGUUAAAGAAGUUGAUCCGAGGGUUAAAAACUUAAAAGCGCCAACUCUUUUAUGCUUUAUAUACUAUUAGGAGCGCAUCAGCCAUUGUGCUCCUAAGUUCCUUGCCAUCUAUUAAAUUUGAUGGAUAAUUACGAUUAAUCUAUCAUUUCUCUCUUAAUUUCUCUUCUCCCAUUCUUUCUCAAUUUUCUCUAUCCCUCACUCAAUUUCUCCUCUCUUUCUCUCUCAGCCACCAACGAUCCCUUUCUACCAUUCUCCUCCCCACCAUUUCCUUCACCAUUAUUUUCCUUCCCCAUUGGCAACCACCGUUCGUCGCACCCACCCCUCCACCAUCAUCCCUCUCCACCUUAAACUAAACCCUAAAGCCCACACUCUCCCCUCUCUUCCCAGUGGGUCGCCUGUGAUACCCUAAUAAUCCCACAUCGAAUAGUUAUGGCUAGAUGUAGGGGUAUAUAAGAAUGAUUAGACUAGACAUAAUAACUGGGCUUAAGUAUUUUGGGCCGGUGGUUUAGGCCCAACGAGUUAUUAUUGCUAGCGGGUCGGAUCGUUACAUUUG
rnacentral:lncRNA from 1 species